AAUUCUACCCUUUUUUUUUUUUUUGUUAAACAAACCAUCUUUUACUGUAUACCAGCUGGUGGGAGUUAUUGGCCCUUGUUGAACAAGCACUGCUAGAAUCGAAUCACUAUCUACUUCCUGUUUAAUGGAAUGUGAGGUUGAUAUGAUUUAUUUUUGACUUAUUUGUUUGGCAUUGUUGUAUUAUUGUUUUGUUUUGUUUUUAUGUACAGCUACUUAUUCUUAUUUUCUUUUUCACUGAUAAUUUAUUAUUUGAAAUAGUUGUUACAUUAUUUCUUAUUCAUUAAAUUGACAUGAAAGAAG